GCAGACACAACACUACGAUGCUCGUUCCGUACAGAACUUCGCGUUCUUAUUCACGAGCGGGUAAGGUCUGAGUGAAGCUUCCUUUGCUUGUCCCUAGCAGGGUCCAGGUCCAACCACACCUGUACGACACAUCAGAAAAACGCCUCCUUGCACCAAGCCUUGCUACCCAUUCUGGAUCUCAAAGAAUUUACAUUACGACCUUCCUAUCUGAUACUGUCGAUGGCUUGGUCGUACUGUAAUGAGAGAGAAAGAAGACUUGUAGCGCUUAGGUGGAGGAGACUUGGAAUCUGUCGUGGAGCUUGGGCGUUUCGACUUUUUCAUCAAUGGCAUGCUCUAUCAGCGUAGCAGCGUCUACGAGUUAGAUGCGGGUGAUAUCGGUGGGGUUUCUUGGCCAAAAAAUCGUAUCAUUCCUCGACAAUUGUCUUUUCAGGCAGUCGAUGCUCUGCUAUGUGGGGUAGGACCUUGUGUUGGCUGUCGAUACCCUCUCAAGUGCUUAUCAACACUAGUAUGAUCCACGAAUGAGGAGUCUCACAUGCUUUGAUAUGUUCUGAAACGUCCUUCAGUGCAAUUCGUGGUACAUGCCCUUCAACCAUCUGGUUGUUUGCGUGUAACUCAAUUCAGACUAUUCUGUGUCUGC
rnacentral:RNase_P_RNA from 2 species